rnacentral:rRNA from 1 species
AACGAACGCUGGCGGCAUGCCUAACACAUGCAAGUCGAACGAUGCCUUCGGGCAUAGUGGCGCACGGGUGCGUAACGCGUGGGAAUCUGCCUUUCGGUUCGGAAUAACUCAGGGAAACUUGAGCUAAUACCGGAUAACGUCGCAAGACCAAAGAUUUAUCACCGAAAGAUGAGCCCGCGUAGGAUUAGCUAGUUGGUGAGGUAAAGGCUCACCAAGGCGACGAUCCUUAGCUGGUCUGAGAGGAUGAUCAGCCACACUGGGACUGAGACACGGCCCAGACUCCUACGGGAGGCAGCAGUGGGGAAUAUUGGACAAUGGGCGAAAGCCUGAUCCAGCAAUGCCGCGUGAGUGAUGAAAGCCUUAGGGUUGUAAAGCUCUUUUACCCGGGAAGAUAAUGACGGUACCGGGAGAAUAAGCCCCGGCUAACUCCGUG